GUCUCUUCGGAGACAUUUGAUAAAAUUGGAACAAUACAUAGAAGAUUAGCAUGGCCCCUGCGCAAGGAUGACACACACAAAUAGAGAAAUGGUCCAUUUUUUU
rfam:Picea glauca, whole genome shotgun sequence.